UACGUAGGGUCCGAGCGUUGUCCGGAAUUAUUGGGCGUAAAGAGCUCGUAGGCGGUCUGUUGCGUCGGCUGUGAAAACCCGGGGCUCAACUCCGGGCCUGCAGCCGAUACGGGCAGACUAGAGUUCGGCAGGGGAGACUGGAAUUCCUGGUGUAGUGGUGAAAUGCGCAGAUAUCAGGAGGAACACCGGUGGCGAAGGCGGGUCUCUGGGCCGAUACUGACGCUGAGGAGCGAAAGCGUGGGGAGCGAACAGG
rnacentral:rRNA from 1 species